GGAGGGGUGCCGGAGCGGUCGAACGGGGCGGUCUCGAAAACCGUUAGGGGUGCAAGCCCCUCGAGGGUUCAAAUCCCUCCCCCUCCG
rnacentral:tRNA from 1 species